AUCCAGACUCCUACGGGAGGCAGCAGUGGGGAAUAUUGCACAAUGGGGGAAACCCUGAUGCAGCGACGCCGCGUGGAGGAAGAAGGUCUUCGGAUUGUAAACUCCUGUCCUUGGGGACGAUAAUGACGGUACCCAAGGAGGAAGCACCGGCUAACUACGUGCCAGCAGCCGCGGUAAAACGUAGGGUGCAAGCGUUGUCCGGAAUUACUGGGUGUAAAGGGAGCGCAGGCGGAUUGACAAGUUGGGAGUGAAAACUACGGGCUCAACCCGUAACCUGCUUUCAAAACUGUCAGUCUUGAGUGGUGUAGAGGUAGGCGGAAUUCCCGGUGUAGCGGUGGAAUGCGUAGAUAUCACGCAGACCCCCGAUUGCGAAGGCAGCAUACCGGUGCACAACUGACGCUCAGGCACGAAAGCGUGGGAAUCGAACAGGAUUAGAUCCCCUAGUA
rnacentral:rRNA from 1 species